GACGAACCGUGCGAACGUUGUUCGGAUUCACUGGGCUUAAAGGGCGCGUAGGCGGGUGACCAAGUCCGGGGUGAAAUCUUUCGGCCCAACCGGAAAAGUGCCUUGGAUACUGGUCGUCUGGAGGGAGGUAGGGGCACGCGGGAACUUCCGGGUGGAGCGGUGAAAUGCGUAGAUAUCGGAAGGAACGCCGGUGGCGAAAGCGGCGUGCCUGGACCUCUUCUGGACGGCUGAGGCGCGAAAGCCCAGGGGAGCAAACGGG
rnacentral:rRNA from 1 species